rnacentral:tmRNA from 1 species
GGGGAUGUUAAGGUCUCGACAUGAUUAGUAGAGUAUUAACUACAGUGGGGUUUAGCCCCUUAUAGCUUUCUUGCAAUAAAUGCAAACAACAAAAAUAAUAGAGUUGAACUAAAUAUUCAAGGUGAAGACUCAGUUAAUACAGAAGCAGCAGAAAAUCUAAACUCUUUUGAAAUUAGCAAACUUUCACAAGUAAAUUACAACUUAGCAUUAGCUUAAUUGUUGUAAUAUAGCGACUUUUAUUUAAAUGAUGAUAUAAAUAAAAGAUACUUCUUCAUCUAGGUUAAAUGACACAGAUAAAUUUAACUAAAACUCAUUCUGUUAGUAAAUUUAUUUUUGUUUUAUUUUUUAAUAAAUUUAUGAAAUUUUAAAUAAAACUAAACUUGUAAACGUUAAUAUAAAACUAAUUGUGGAAACGGGUUCAAUUCCCGUCAUCUCCACCA